rnacentral:rRNA from 1 species
GACAGAGGUGCCGAGCGUUAGGCGGAAUCACUGGGCUUAAAGCGUGUGUAGGCGGACUUCUAAGUACCUUGUGAAAUCCCACGGCUCAACCGUGAAACUGCUUGGUAUACUGGUCGUCUUGAGCCACCUAGGGGCAACCGGAACAAACGGUGGAGCGGUGAAAUGCGCAGAUAUCGGGAGGAACACCAAUGGCGAAGGCAGCUCGCUGGGACGGUACUGACGCUGAGGCGCGAAAGCGUGGGGAGCAAACAGG